rnacentral:rRNA from 1 species
CCUACGGGAGGCAGCAGUGAGGAAUAUUGGUCAAUGGACGAGAGUCUGAACCAGCCAAGUAGCGUGAAGGAUGACUGCCCUAUGGGUUGUAAACUUCUUUUAUAUGGGAAUAAAACAGGGUAUGCAUACCCUCUUGUAUGUACCCUAUGAAUAAGCAUCGGCUAACUCCGUGCCAGCAGCCGCGGUGAUACGGAGGAUCCGAGCGUUAUCCGGAUUUAUUGGGUUUAAAGGGUGCGUAGGUGGAUUGGGAAGUCCGUUGUGAAAGUUUGCGGCUCAAACGUAAAAUUGCAGUUGAAACGGGCAGUCUGGAGUUCAGUAGAGGUGGGCGGAAUUCGUGGUGUAGCGGUGAAAUG